CAUCACUCGCAUCAGCACCAUUGAAGAGAUGCGUAAAUUGAGAGUUUUUGCCUUCUCUGUCAAGAGGAAAGCCACGCAGAAGCUCCUGAAGGAAAUAGGACAAGCACUGGCUUCUUCAAUUGAAUGCAUGAGAAGUGAAACAGAGAGCAUCCAGGUGUUAUGAAGUGUGAGACAACCGCAAACAGGUGCAAGAGGCCUGAAUUACAUAGAACAGAAGUGGUCUGUGUCAUGUCGUAGAUCACACUGUAACUUCCCUUAUAAUGGACGACACAAUGGUCUUUCCCUGCUUUUGGUUUCAAUGAAAAUAUUGUUUAUGCCAA